rnacentral:tRNA from 1 species
UCCCUGGUGGCUCAGAUGGUAAAGCCUCUGCCUACAAUGCGGGAGACCCGGGUUCGAUCCCCGGGUAGGGAA